rnacentral:lncRNA from 1 species
AGGGGAGCAGGCCAAUACUACAAGGGUUAUCUCACAACCUCAGAUGUCGGAUAAGUUGAAGGAGGCAGGAUCGCCUCUGGAUGACAUUCAGAAAGGCUGGGAUAAUUAUUUGGAAGAGAAAAGCCUGCCUAUUCUUUCCAAGGUAAACAGUUCGUUUCAUCUGUC